UGGGGAAUUGUUCGCAAUGGGCGCAAGCCUGACGACGCAACGCCGCGUGGAGGAUGAAGAUCUUCGGGUCGUAAACUCCUGUCGAGCGGGAAGAACAGCUUUGGGGUAAAUAUCCCUAGAGCCUGACGGUACCGCUAAAGGAAGCCCCGGCUAACUCCGUGCCAGCAGCCGCGGUAAAACGGGGGGGGCAAGCGUUGUUCGGAAUUACUGGGCGUAAAGGGCUCGUAGGCGGCCAACUAAGUCAGACGUGAAAUCCCCAGGCUUAACCUGGGAACUGCGUCUGAUACUGGUUGGCUUGAAUCCGGGAGAGGGAUGCAGAGUUCCAGGUGUAGCGGUGAAAUGCGUAGAUAUCUGGAGGAACACCGGUGGCGAAGGCGGCAUUCUGGACCAACACUGACGCUGAGGAGCGAAAGCCAGGGGAGCAAA
rnacentral:rRNA from 1 species